rnacentral:rRNA from 1 species
AACGAACGCUGGCGGCAUGCUUAACACAUGCAAGUCGAACGUGAAAGUGGGCUUCGGCCCGCGAGUAAAGUGGCGCACGGGUGAGUAACACGUGGAUAAUCUACCCGAUGAUCUGGAAUAACACUUCGAAAGGGGUGCUAAUACCGGAUAAGCUCACGACGUCUUCGGACGAUGUGGGAAAAGGGGGCUUCGGCUCCUGUCAUCGGAUGAGUCCGCGGCCCAUUAGCGAGUUGGUAGGGUAAUGGCCUACCAAGGCGACGAUGGGUAGCUGGUCUGAGGGGAUGAUCAGCCACAGUGGAACUGAGGCACGGUCCAGACUCCUACGGGAGGCGGCAGUGGGGAAUUUUGCGCAAGGGGCGAAAGCCUGACGCAGCAAGGCCGCGUGAGUGUUGAAGGCCUUCGGGUCGUAAAGCACUGUCAGAGGGGAAGAAACUCGUGCCGGUUAAUACCCGGCGGGCCUGACGGUACCCUCAAAGGAAGCACCGGCUAACUCCGUGCCAGCAGCCGCCGUAA